AGUGAGUCAUAGGCUCCAGCCCGCUGCUAAAGGAUUUGUCCGUGGCGAGGCCCGGGGUCCUGGGAUUGGGAGCUGGUUCUGAAAGGCUAGGGUCAGGUGAGUUGGACCCUGGUUCAGCCUUCACCGCACUCUGCGACCUCAGACAGCUCUCUGAACUUACCCGAGUCUCAGUGUGUCUUGCAAAAAAGAAAAAUGUUCCUGUACACGCACCCAGAGGCUUUUGCAGGAGGCGGCUAUUGGAGAACCAGGAAAACAAGCCAAGAAACAAGAGAGAGGAAAAAGACCACGCCUCGCUUGGCAGAUUCCUAAUGGCCCAGGAGACCUGAGGCUUUACAGUGGGAGGCCGGUGGGGGCUGGCUCGGGUGGGAGGGAAGGGCAGGCCGAAGGACAGCCACUUGCUGGCCAGUGACCUUGGGCGGGAUGCUGCCUGCUUCCCUCUGAGGACACUCAGGCCCAGAGAGGGCUGGUGGCCUGCCCGAGGUCACACAGCAAAUUGGAGGCUGAGCCAGGACUCACCACAAAGUCUUUGGACUCCAAGUCCAGGCCUCAUUCCCUUUCCCCGAAACUUGGCUGCCUGGGGGCUUACCCUGGGGAGUUGGAGAGACCCAGGGUUAGGGAGGAUAGCUGGGAACUGUGUCCGUUUGAAGUCACGACUUAAUGUUGAUUAAAGUGCCUUUUUAUUUUUUUUUUUUUAAAACAAAAAGAACGUUCCCAGCCCUUGCCAUGAGCCUGGACUUGCUCUGCUGGCAGGGGAAGGAAUGCAGCUCUGGCCGCCACAGAUGCUGGUGGCCAGCUGCGGCCUCAGCUCCUGCCGCUCCCACCCCAGCAGGCAAAGGGACAAAGGCCUCUUCUCAGCCUGUCCCCUCCAGACCCCUGGAUCAGUGGGGGCAGAGCCACAAUCAGGAGGCUCUGUCACUGACCAGCUAAGUCGCUGUUCCUCUCUGGGCCUCAGUGCCCUUUCUGGAAAAUGGGGGCAGAAUAUCUGCCUGACCUACUUCUCAGCACCAUUUUGAGGUUUCAAAGAGGUAAAGUUACAGAAAUACAGACCUCUCAGCACCUUCUUCUGCCUGAGGGUCAGCCUACUCAGAGACCCCUCUGCCUCAAACGCCCCUCCCUUCCUCACGCAUCACCUGGCCAGCUCCAGCUUGCUCAGCUCAGCUCAGCCGGACCACCCCUCGCUCUGGGGAGCCCUCCCUCACCUCCAGACCGUGAUGCUCCUUCAAGUUCAGCUUAUCCCUCACCUCCUUUGAGAAGCCUUCCUUAACUGCUCCCAGACUAGAUCAGUUCCUCCCACUCCACGGCCCAUAGCACCCUGUACUUUAUUGUAGCACUUGUCACAAUUGUAAUUAAACAAUUAUUUGUGUAAUUAGUUAUUUAACAUCUCAUCCCCUCUUGUAUACUGUAGCUCUCUGAACUCAGUGCUUGUGACGGUCUUCUUUAAAAACUUUGUACUGAAAUAUACAUUCAGAAAACUGCGCAUAUCAAAAUAUAUAGCUUGAUGAAUUUUCACAAACUGAACACACUAUAUAACUGGUACCCAGAUCAAGAUUGCAGACCGUUAUGAUGCUAAACAUUUUCUGUACCCAGGAGUCCCCUCAUGUCCCUUCCAGCUAUGGCUGUCUUUUUUUACCCUUAUAUUCUUAGCACCCAGCACAGAGCUAGGCAUUAUUAAGCUCUCAAAAAAACCAAAAAAAUCCCAACUCUUGGUUGAAUGAAUGAA